rnacentral:lncRNA from 1 species
UGAUACAGCGCUGCGGCUGCAACUGCAGCAGCCAAGUGAGGUGUUUGAGACUGAGCUGUGGGCCUUUGGCCUUUAUGCAGCUGCUUGUGCAGCCAGCAGAAGCCAACACACCGAACCUUGCAGUUGCAGGCCAUUGUAUGGGCCCUCGAAUUCUAGCGAGUCUCAAUGGAACAUGAGCACUGUAGGACUCGGAGGUCUUGAGCACUUACAUAUCCUUGCACCGCAGGAAGUCAAGAACAGCUUCAGCUCUCACCUCUCAGUUCCCCUCACGUCGCCAUCUUGCGCUGGCACCGCGGCACCGGCCCAAAUCCUCCGGCAACUGCUUCCGCGAGACUUUCGGUGCUCCUGCCGACCAAGGUUGCCGACGAUUCCUCCGCCCGGCCAGAAACUUCCAAGCAAAUCAUGGCCCACAAAGAAGCUUCCCUGAAAUUUCCCCUUUGAAUGUUGAACCUUAGGCCUUGUUUACUUCUCAAGUUGGGAGUUGCAAAAUUGGCAUUUUGCCAUAAAUGCGACACUGUAGCGUUUCGUUUGUAUUUAUGAAUUAUUGUCCAAAUAUUGACUAAUUAGGCUCAAAAGAUUCGUCUCGCAAAGUACAACAAAACUGUGCAAUUAGUUUUUGAUUUCGUCUACAUUUAGUACUCCAUGCAUGUACCGCAAGUUUGAUGUGAUGGGGAAUCUUCUUUUUGCAUAGUGUCAAAGUUGGGAGUUUGGAGGAAAGUAAACAAGGGCUUAGUCGCUAAGCAAAGAAACUUCUGCGAGCCUUCAAGAGCAUCGUUUUUCUCAGAUCCGGAGCUGCCCGUCGUCGCCCUGUCCCUAUCCCACCAGACUGCGCCAUGUCGCUCUUGGAACCUCCGAGCUCACACGCCACGACGCAUUGAGGCCCCAUUGUGCCUUGCCUCCCAGCCCGGCUGAAAAGCUUGAGGAAUCCCUCCAGUGUGGUAUGUUCAUGCCACACAAACAUACACAUAGCUCGGUCUAGCUCAUUUUGCUUCGUCGAUCAACUUCUCUGCUUUCUCAGUUCAGGUCAUUGGCAUAAGUUGCAGGUGCCCUGGAUUCAGUGACUGGAGCUAGCAAAGGUUGUUUCCAGUUCAUGCGGGACUGUAUCUAGUUUGCAAUGGAUCAAUGGUUGGAGCAAGGCUCAGAGGGCUCAGAGGGGUGUGGAUGGCCGGAACAGGUGCGGGCAACUCGGAACAUAAAUUGCAUCAUCUUACUUUGUACUCCUUCCGUUCCAAAUUACAUGUCGUUUUAGCUUUCAAUCGUUUUAGCUUUUUUUUAAUGCAUAGAACCUAGUUGACUUUUCUUAUUGUCGAUCAAUUAUAAGCACCGCCGUUGUUUCUUAUUUCCCCACCAAAACUACGCAUUGAUUUGCUAUCCAACUCAGAACACUAUAAAAUCGGACUUUUCUCCUUGCCUUUCUCCUUCUCCAGCCUUUUUAUUCGUAGAUGCAAACUUUUAUACCAAUGAAAAAUGAACAGCUUAAGUUUCGAUGCCUGAUUGGCUGAAAAUAAGUUACUUUUACCAAAAGCCAGACUCAAUUUAACAAAGAGCAAGUACAUACAUGAUAACAUUUUUACAAACAAAGAACAAAUGGCACGCAGUGUGUACGUCACCUCCAAGAUAUAGCUUGAGCGAAAACCUCGAAGGUCCGAGCAUCAAUCAUUUCAUUGGAAGUAAAGUCCUGGAAUUCUAGAGAGUUGUGAGGAUGUUUCCGGAACAAGCACGCAGAGACAAAGGUCGCCACGGUGUCAGUCGAUCUGGUGCGGGGAUAUUAAGGCACCCAGCGGAUUAUGACGUCAGCGCCGACGUGGCGUGACCGUCAGCCGUGACUUCACAGGCCAUGGCCAUGGCCCGUGGGGAGUUGCCGGUUUUUGGGACACGGAGGGAGCAUGGCGGCGCCGCGGUCCGCUGCGACCUACUCCAGGACGAGGCGAAGUCCUCUACCUCCUCCGUAGACCAUAUAUGGUCAACGGCGCGCCGGGCGCGGCGCAUCGCCGUUGGCUGCUAAAUUAUAAAACUAAUUGCAGUAUUUUUGAGCUAAUUCGCGAGACGAAUCUAUUAAAUCUAAUUAAUCUAUCAUUAGCAAAUGGUUACUGUAGUACCACAUUGUCAAAUCAUAAACUAAUUAGACUUAAUAGAUUCGUCUCGCGAAUUCAACUCCAUCUAUGCAAUUAGUUUUAUAAUUAACAUAUAUUUAAUACUUUUAAUUAGUAUCUAAACACCCGAUACGAUAGGUGCUAAACUUUUACUGGUAUCAAACACUCAUUCCCCCACAUUGUUGUUGGGAAAAGACUUGUGCGUGACGGGACGGAAGUGUCCCUGACACUCCCGCACUGCUGCGCGUAUCACCAGGAGUAGCUGGGUACGUGGUGAAUUGAUCACUGGAUGGCUACAGUUGAACGAGUCGCGGAUUUGACUCGCCUUCUGCGCUGCCAAAGAUCAGCAUCGACCGUGUGAAUAGAGGACGACAUUCUGCGCUGCCAAAGAUCAGCAUCGACGUCGACGGUCGCCGUCGUGCGUGCACGGCCGGCCACUUGCCCCGAAUCCGCGACUCGUUCAACUGGAGCCAUCCACUGGCGCAGAUUCUGCACGACCGUAUCACCAGGAGAAGCUGGUGUCACAUGGAAGUCGUCGUUGAACUAUUCGCGUGGUAAGAAAAUUCGGCGCGCAAAUCACGCCGGCUAACGACAUGACAAGUAAGCAAUUCCGUCAAGACCAUCCAUGGAGGAUGGAUGAGAUGAAAAUCCGAACCCCUAGAAAGACAGAAAGACGGAAAUAAAACGCACUGCGCACCGACCGGGCCGCCGGCCCAGACGCUCUAGCGGCGGAGCCGGAUUACCCGUUGUCGUGUGGUCGGCGAUGAAGUCACAUGAGACCGUUGCAGGGAGUAGUUGGGAAAAGUAUAACCAGUAGUAUCCGUUAUUAUCUUUUAAAAAAAAGAGUAGUAUCGAAAGUGUUGCUACCAACGGUCGAUAGAGAAGCUGAGGAAGAUGGUGAGCAACGUGCAGGCUGCUGGUGAAGUGGUGAUUACAUUGCCGGCUUUCCUGGGUAGGAAACGCAUGCCCUAUAUUUUCAACAAGUUCUAGAUAAUCCAUCCGUAGUUGUCUUGUGGUUGGUCGGUUGAAUCUCUUCAGGCUUUAACCAUGGGCGGUGAAGUUAGAUAAAAACCGUUGAUGGAGCUGAUUUGUGACCUUAAUUUCAGCCUGCUACGCUGUAGAUCCAAGCAGCCCGUUUCGGCUGCGCUGGAAAAGCCGGCUGGGCUUUUUCCAACUGCGCUGAUGAGUCCAGACAUUCGGCUGCCGAACUGCAGCUGUUCGGCUGCCUACUGACGGCUUCGCACCUCCUUUUCUCUCCCUCUCUCAUUCUAUCCGCAACAAUACAAACCUUAUCCACCUCGCUUUCCCUCUCGCCCGCUCUCCGCCUCCAUCGGUCCCUCCUUCUCCGUCCCCAGCGUCAUCCUACCUCCGUAGGUGAAGCGACCUCCAGGAUAGCAGAUCUAGCAUGGGUUGGGCUUUUCGUUGCCGGCGCCGGAUCAUUCGCCCCCACCGCGUCCUCCGUCGUCUACCCGCAGUGCCGAGGCACCCAGGGUCAAGCUGGUCGCUAGGGAUCCAGGUCGCCGCCCAGCAUGCCAGUCGGGAUCCGAGCUCGCGGCGGCCGCUAUCUUCACCGCGGCACCCCCCGCCUACCAACUCGAGCAAGAGGUCCUCACUCAGAUCUCCCAUCCGCCAUAUUCUGGCCCUGCCGCCGCCAUAGCCCGAGGAAGCCCCCAUUCAGAUCUAGGCAAUCCUCAUUUUUUGUAGCAGUUUUACCGCUAUAGACUUCUUGCUCAAGCGGAUAUUUUUGUAGCGAUAGUGGUGGUGGUGGUUUGGGGUAAGUACUUCGAUUUUAUGAUUGAGUGUGGGAUAUCUCUGAACCUUUGUAGCAUCUGUAGGGUUGGUUCUAGUAUUAGGGUGCUGACCUUUUGUAUUUCUGCCUUUUACCUUCUUUAAAUUUUGUUAGCUUGGCCUAGUUUCAUCUGCGCCAUUCUACUCUAUCCUAGUUUUAAUCCGUUUCAACAUCUUUUGGUUGAAAUUGCCUGGAUAACCAAAAAUUUUGCUAAUAUACUAUACUAUAUUCAUAGUAAAUGCUCUAUUCUUGGUACAAAUAAAUAUUUUUUCAUAGUAAAUGCUGACAUAUACUUCUUUGAAGUUUUAUUGGAUUAGUAACUAAAUUCUGAUACUCUGCGGAAGUUUUAUUGGAUUAGUAACUAAAUUCUGGUACUCUAGUAGCUUCAAAUGCUACUGGUUUGGUGAAUUGAAAUGUGUAGUAUUUUUUUCUGAAAUAUACAAGUCAGCAUGAUUCUACAAUGUUGUUGUUGCACUGGUGCUUCACCACUGUGUUACCUCAUGCUUUUGCUUGCUGCUAAUUUUUCAUCCAGCAUUUUGACAACACAGUUUCUAAAUUUCAGAUAUUUCCAUACAGAAGGAGUAGCUCAUGUGUUUUCUCAUAACAAAAGAUCAAAUGUUUUAAUUUCUCUUCCCUGUUGAGGUCUUUGUUUGAUGUAAGUAGAACAUCCCGAACUUUACGCAAGUUUUAUUGGAUUAGUAACUAAAUUUUGGUACUCAAGCAGCUUGAUGUGCUACUGGUUUGGUGAAUUGAAAUGUGUAGUAGCUUCUUUCUAAAAUAUACAAGACACAUGUUUUACAUUGUUGUUGCUGCACUGGUGCUUCACCACUAGGUUGCCUCGUGGUUUUGCUUGCUGCUAAUUUUGACAUAUACUUCUUUGAAUGUUAUUAGAUUAGUAACUAAUUUUGACGUAUACUAAAUUCUCAUAGUAAAUAGCUUGUGGUCUUUCUUUUUGUGCUUCACAGUAAAUUUUGACAUAAACUUCUCUGAAUUUUUAUUGGAUUAGUAACUAAAUUCUGGUACAAUGUUGAGUGGAAAUUUGAAGCACUGAUCUGACAAUAUUUUCUUUUGCACAUAUGCAGUCCUUUGCAGCGAGCCUACUUCAAGUGCACUCUUCUCCACACUAGCAUUGUCAUCCACUUCUUCAUGCUCUCCCCCACUAGCCUGUCCAUACAAUCUCCGUUACAAACGCGCCAAGACAACUGCUAAGGCAAGUGACAUGUUCAUUAUGUACUGAGUUUGUCUACUUUUAUGUCUCUUGCGUUUUCUUCUUUGUUAAAUAAAAUUGCAGCUCCUACCUACUCAAACUAUGCAUUGUACAACUGGGCUCAGAUGGCUAACAUCCAUGCCAAUUGGGAUGAGGAGACAACAAAAACGUUCCUCAACCUCUGCAUUGCUGAGAAAAACCAACUGAAUUGGAGCAACAAGUGCCUAACUAAGUUGGGAUGGCAACACGUCUACCACACCUUCAAACAACAGCAACUGAAAAGCUGUUCGGUUGAGAUUGCUGAUGCAGCUGCAGCUGCAGCAGCCAAGUGAGGCGUUUGAGAGGCGUUUGAGACUGGGCUGUGGGCCUUUGGCCUUUAUGCAGCUGCUUGUGCAGCCAGCAGAAGCCAACACACCGAACCUUGCAGUUGCAGGCCAUUGUACGGGCCCUCGAAUUCUAGCGAGUCUCAAUGGAACAUGAGCACUGUAGGACUCCGGAGGUCUUGAGCACUUACAUAUCCUUGCAGCGCAAGAAGUCAAGAACAGCUUCAGCUCUCACCUCUCAGUUCCCCUCACGUAGCCAUCUUACGCUGGCACCGCGGCACCGGCCCAAAUCCUCCGGCAACUGCU